UCUUAGCUCUGUUGAUGAUUUGUAGGUAUAGCUGAGGAUGUCGAUCUUUCUUGAAUAAUCUGUACGUUCGAAGCUUAUUUCCAUUUAAUUUGUUCUUGUCUUAACAAUGACCUA